AUUGAACGCUGGCGGCAGGCCUAACACAUGCAAGUCGAGCGAGCGGCGGACGGGUGAGUAAUGUCUGGGAAACUGCCUGAUGGAGGGGGAUAACUACUGGAAACGGUAGCUAAUACCGCAUACUAUCAGAUGCGCCCAGAUGGGAUUAGCUAGUAGGUGGGGUAACGGCUCACCUAGGCGACGAUCCCUAGCUGGUCUGAGAGGAUGACCAGCCACACUGGGACGGAGACACGGUCCAGACGCCCACGGGAGGAAGCAGUGGGGAAUAUGGCACAAUGGGCGCAAGCCGGAGACAGCCAUGCCGCGUGUAUGAAGAAGGCCUUAGGGUGGUAAAGUACUUUCAGCGGGGAGGCGUUACCCACAGAAGAAGCACCGGCUAACUCCGUGCCAGCAGCCGCGGUAAUAC
rnacentral:rRNA from 1 species